GGGGGGCGUACGCAGAGAUGUUCUCGAGCUCUGUGUCUCCUCUCUGUUUUGCUCUGGUGCUUCUGAGAGGAGUUUUGAGCUGUUUUAAAGAAUGGAUGAGGGAAAGCGAUGAGCAUAAUUUUUUUAUUUCCCCAGAUUGUUCAUUUUAUGUCCUUUUGUCUUGCAGGGGAACCCAGGAUUUCCAGGUGCUCCAGCUAUGGGGGUUUUGGGACCUCCAGGCAAGAAAGGUGUCAGGGGUGAUAUUGGACCAACAGGGGCCCUGGGACCACAAGGAGACAAAGGAAUACAAGGAGACAAAGGAGAGAAGGUAAUGUAUUUGCUUUUCUUGGCACAUCCUUUAUGGGUAGAAGGGUUUAUUUUGUUUGUGUCCGCAAAGGAAACGCUGAAGCAGAUGGAGUUCC
rnacentral:lncRNA from 1 species